rnacentral:rRNA from 1 species
UUGUCCUGUGACUGCGUACCUUUUGUAUAAUGGGUCAGCGACUUAUAUUCAGUGGCAAGGUUAACCAUCUAGGGGAGCCGUAGGGAAACCGAGUCUUAACUGGGCGUUCAGUCUCUGGAUAUAGACCCGAAACCAGGUGAUCUAGCCAUGGGCAGGUUGAAGGUUGAGUAACAUCAACUGGAGGACCGAACCGACUAAUGUUGAAAAAUUAGCGGAUGACUUGUGGCUAGGGGUGAAAGGCCAAUCAAACCUGGAGAUAGCUGGUUCUCCCCGAAAGCUAUUUAGGUAGCGCCUCGGACGAAUACUACUGGGGGUAGAGCACUGUUAAGGCUAGGGGGUCAUCCCGACUUACCAACCCUUUGCAAACUCCGAAUACCAGUAAGUACUAUCCGGGAGACACACGGCGGGUGCUAACGUCCGUCGUGGAGAGGGAAACAACCCAGACCGCCAGCUAAGGUCCCAAAUUACUACUAAGUGGGAAACGAUGUGGGAAGGCUCAGACAGCCAGGAUGUUGGCUUAGAAGCAGCCAUCAUUAAAGAAAGCGUAAUAGCUCACUGGUCGAGUCGGCCUGCGCGGAAGAUGUAACGGGGCUAAGUAGUAAACCGAAGCUGCGGCAAUGUGCUUUUGCACAUUGGGUAGGGGAGCGUUCUGUAAGCGGU